GGAGAGGUGGCCGAGUGGUCGAAGGCGCACGCUUGGAAAGCGUGUAUGUGGAUCAAACUGCAUCCAGGGUUCGAACCCCUGUCUCUCCGCCA
rnacentral:tRNA from 1 species